rnacentral:lncRNA from 1 species
UACGUACUAAGACUUAGACCAACAAGCUUUCAUUGUUGGAUACACAUAGAAGAUCUGUGAAAUACAUUAGUGAAGAGCUUAUUCAUUGUUUUAUAAAUUGUUAGUCGAAAGCAUCAUCGGAACAGUGCACAGAUGUUGAUUAGACCAAAGAAAUCAUUAUUAAUUCUUUCUUGAUGUAGUGUCUAAUCUCCCAUUAGAAAUUCUAAAUUCCAGUGCUAUAAUAGUUUUAGAUAUAGUGUCUACUCUCCCUUUAGAAAUGCUAAAUUCUACUGCUAUAAUAGUUUUACUUGCAUUUUUC